GGUCGGGUAACUCAGCGGUAGAGUGGCGCCCUUACAAGGCGCAGGUCGCAUGUUCGAAUCAUGUCCCGACCACCG
rnacentral:tRNA from 1 species